AGCGAACGCUGGCGGCAGGCUUAACACAUGCAAGUCGAGCGGGCCCUUCGGGGUCAGCGGCGGACGGGUGAGUAACGCGUGGGAACGUGCCCUCUGGUCUGGAAUAACCCUGGGAAACUAGGGCUAAUACCGGAUACGACCUUUUGGGGAAAGGCUUGCUGCCGGAGGAUCGGCCCGCGGCUGAUUAUCUAGUUGGUGGGGUAACGGCCUACCAAGGCGACGAUCAGUAGCUGGUCUGGGAGGAUGAUCAGCCACACUGGGACUGAAACACGGCCCAGACUCCUACGGGAGGCAGCAGUGGGGAAUAUUGGACAAUGGGCGCAAGCCUGAUCCAGCCAUGCCGCGUGAGUGAUGAAGGCCUUAGGGUUGUAAAGCUCUUUUAUCCGGGACGAUAAUGACGGUACCGGAGGAAUAAGCCCCGGCUAACUUCGUGCCAGCCGCCGCCGUAA
rnacentral:rRNA from 1 species